CUCCAGCCCAGACAGUCUGGCACCAGAGUCCCAGCUCUUCACCUUCACAGGGAGCGUCUUUGUAAUAAGGGUUCCCUUGGGCACGGGCAGGAACCACCGCCGGGAGUAGUUCUGAAGCAUACUCUGCCUUGCAAUUUACCUCCAUCGCCCCAAAGCUCCAUUUCCUCAGGAGCAGGAGUCUGUCUUCAGCUGGACGACAGGAAAUUAAGGGAUUUUUAUCUUCUCCUCCGGCCACAGUGUGGGGGCGUGCUGAUUGUACAUCAGGGGAGAACAAUGGUUCCUCUGACCACUUUUGAUUCAUUCCAUCUCUGGUUUCCAUGGAGCAUCAUAAAAGGAUCUAUGUGUGCGUCAGGACAGCGGACGGACGGAAGCGGCCCGGGGCAAACAGGAGAGGAAGCUUCUGCUUCAUGCGUCUCCAUCCGAAACUAAGAGAUGGCGUAUGAAGACAUUUGGCAGGGGACCCAGAAUCACCUGAAUCCCACCUUGGCCUUCCGACCCCGUUUCUCCACAGUGCCCCAGGGGAGCACUCAACAGCAACUCUGAGGCAGAGAUAGACAGAAGACUGGAUCUGUAGGCACAAGAUCCUUUCAGAAGCCAAUCCAGAAGGAAUCUCCCCACCCAAGACUCCACUAUGCUGCAAUGGAGAGAAGAAAGACAUUGAAGUCAGGCAGUUGGUGAUUCGGUAUCCUGGCUUUGCCAUUUCCUUCCUAUGUAACCUUGGGUGAGAUGCUUAACGUCUCUGAGCCUCAGGUUCCUCUUCUGUGAAAGAGAUAAAAAGUCCUCAUUUGUAGAACUCUGGGGACAACUACAGGAAAAAACAUAGGUAAAGAGGCCUAAUAUAUCUUAGGUCUUCUAAUCCCUAAAUUCUCUCCAAACAUUCAGGAUGGGAAUAGACCAAUAGAACACACGCAGAUGACAUAGGCCACAUUGUGGUCUCCAUUCCAGGAGAAUGCCAUCUGGUUGAGUUUCGGCUGCCUUAUGAUGACAAAAAGAAUUCAGGCCAUUGUUGUCUCCAACAGGACACAUACAGGAGAAGCACUAAAGAUGCUUUGAGAUUGUCUGAGGGUGGCUAGAUACAACCUAUUCUUAUUAAAGCUAUUUAUAGUGAGAAGCCUUUCAGGUCAGGCCUGCCUUUCCAGUCCGCCUCAUUGGCAAGGUGAUGGGCUCUGGGCUCUGUUUGUUAUAUGUUGCUCGUGGUUUCUAUUGGUUCUGGCUUUGGUGGUUUGUUUCAUUCACACUAGAUGCCAAGGGGACCAUAUGGCCCAGUGAGCUAAGGAACAGCCUGGAUAUCCGGGGACUUUGUGCUGUCUGUGACACUUCAGAAAGUGACUCAGUUAGCCAGUGGUAACAGAAAAAAGAGAACCCGUGACUAUUUCAUCCAUUUGAGCACAGAGACAACUCUAGCCAUUUGAAUGCUUAACGUAUCCACCAACCCCUUGAAGGCUAAAGUCUAAUUUGGGCUCCAUGAUUCUAGAGGUCGAGGAGCCAGGGAGGGGCUGGAGGGGGGUGACACCAGGCAACUACUGGCACUUACAAUGUUGUGCAUCCAAAAUAAAAUAGAUAGUUCCUAGAUGUUUUUAAUAUCCAGAUCUCAGAGUCAGUUCAGAGCUCAUAACAAUACAAUGACAACUGGAAUAAAACCGUAUGUGGACAGUGCCUUCCAAUGUACAGAACAUUUUUAUACAGCGUCGGGAAGUCGAUCCUUACCAUUUCUUGGGAGCACAUAAGUUAUCACACUUAUUUGUCUUGGUCAGAGAUCCUUUGGUGGCAUGGAAUAUUUACCCACUACAAGCUACCAAUUGCAUGUGUGAUAGUCAGACUUCAGCACUCUCUAAGUAACGCAGCCCUGCAUCAAAGUGGCAUUUUUCUCCCCAGUCUCGCCCGGAGCUAAAGCUGGGCAGUCGAUUCUUGCUGCCAAGUUUACAACAUGGUUGGGAUGGUGAGAGCCCUACGGAAUUCAUGUGAAAGGUAAUCCACAUUCUCCCUCGUGCAGCUGCUCUUAAAUUUACAAGGACAUGUCCCUACAUGGAGUCUCUGGAUAUUAUACUAAGAUUGUCACAUGUCAUUAACACUGUUCAACGCUGCAACUCAGCCGAUUGGAAAACCUGAUUCAAUUGCAAAUUUGUUUUUGGCAACUGCAUAGCAUCUUCCCAAAAUAUAUUAGAGUUGCCAUUGACAGAUGGUUUGAGAUGGGCCAAGGGAGGCUGUUGACAGAUAUCCUGAGAUGGAUCUUAUUACACUGACAUAUCUAAAGAAUACCCCAUGGGAAAUGCCUUCACAGACCUGGAGGCUGGCAGAACAAGAUGGCAGCCCUUCAAGAGAAUUGCCAAUAAAAAGACUGAAAAUGGGCACAGCCUUCUGGAGGUAAUCUGGCAGUAUGUAUGGAAUCUUAAAACAUUUAUACCCCUUGACCCUGUAUUUGUCUUUUCAAGUUGAAAGUGCAGCUCAGACAUGCAUGCAAAGAUUUGUGUGUAGAGAUUUUCACUGCGGCAUUAACCAUAGAAUAAUGAAGAGCUGCAAAUCACCUGAAGUCCCACAACGGGGGGGCAGUUUGAACACACCAGUUAUAUUUAUAUCCGCGCUUACUGUGAUAAAAAAGAAGGCAGGUAAAGAGCUGUCUGUGGAGGGUGAUCUAAAUUUUGCAAAAGGAAAAAAAGGACUGGAAUUUUUUUUCUUUUUAUUUAUCAAUAAUCACUUUAUUAUUUUUUAAGCAUAUGGCACUUUUUUUUUGAAGUUUUUAUUUAAUAUUCUAGUUAGGUAACAUACGGUGAAAUGUUGGUC